CUCAUGAUGCUUCCCUUUCCAUGACUUGUUCAUCUCUUGUCACACUGCUGAGAGUGUUGGGAUAAUCUGUUUGCAAAUAUUUAUAACUGUCAGGCUCAGGGACAUCAGAGCCCUGGUUCACUGCACCCCAGACAGACUUCUUAGUGCAUAGGAAUUAUGUGACAAUUGGCAUCCACUCCCCAUUGCCUGGCAACAGUGCCCCACAUCUCUUGAGAUGAGCCCUCUCCACAGAUACCAGGCACUGUGAUAUGGGUAACAGUCCCUACUUCGUGCUACAAGACCCAAGCAUAAACCAAUCAGGACACUCAAUUCUGACAGGCCUGCUGAUGGUUUGUUUUGGUUCAAGGAAUAUCAAUUCCAGGAACUUUGCUCAAAAUCAUGGGAUAAGAGAAGCUCUGUUUGUCACAGAAUAUUUACAUUGAAAGAGGGGAUUCUAAAUAUUCCAAAAUACGAGCCCAGACUGGUGGCCAGAGAGCAAGUGAGCUUACCAUUUGGGGUUUGUGUGUGUCCAGCUCUACAUGUUAUUAAGGCAGGUCGAGCCUCUAUCUCCCACCACCAAGCCGACCCCCACUACAGCCUUUACCAGCUGGUACCAGCGAUUCUCAGUCUACCCCAGCUGACCGCCAUCUUCUCAAGCGGAGGAGGCAUCACGCUCAUCUCCUUGGAGUUAGCUUGCUAAAUAAUUAUUCAUGACUUUAUCAGGAUGGAAAAAGAGCCAAAAGCUGAGAAAAAGGGACAUUCUUCAUUCGGGCACUGAGGGGCUACUAGUGUCCAAUUCCUCCGCUGGCUGCAGCAAAGGCUCCCCUUUCUUGUUCUUUCCUCUUGCUUUCACUUUGUGACUCAGCACUGGGAGUGCAAGUGUGGUGAGACUGCUUCUUUCACCUACCCAAAGCCAGAGAACUUCGACAAAUCACCUUGCAGAUGAUGCAAGAAAACCAGCAGCACAGGUGGAGGAGGUCUGUAAGUUCCUGGGCCACACCCCUGCCUUCCUCUCCCUGACAAAGUAUUUACAAGGAAGAACGACCAGCAGCUCUGACCUGGGCAGACUUUCAAGGAAGAUGCUCUUGUUGGCUUUUCUUCUGCCCUCUGCACCUGCAACAGCUCAGUCAGGGUGAUUCUGGGGGCCCACGACAUCCUGAUUCAAGAGUGGACCCCGUAGGUCAUCCCUGUGAAAGAAGCCAUCCGCCACUCAGACUAUAUUCCUGGAGACUUCUUCAACGACAUCAUGUUACUAAAGGUGGCCAGGUCCAGGGGGAGCACGGACUCAGUCUUCUGCACUCUUUGUCCAUGUGGCGACUCUGGAAGCCCACUCAUCUGUAAGAACAUGCUCCAGGGUCUUGCCCUCCAUGGACAAGAUGACAGGACAGCUCCACGGCUCUUCAUCCAACUCUCAAGCUUCCUGCCCUGGAUAAAGGAAACCAUGAAAUCCUAUGAAAUGCCUCUAACUGUAGGAACCAGCCCACCUUCUCUGGAGCUGAUCCAGAAUGUCACCAGCAACUAAAUAAAUGUCUCUUAGCUGAGCAGGAA